AGUCUGUUCCAGCAUCUUUUGCCAAACAGAACUCUGGGUGUCCCAGGCCUGGGGCCUCACACGCCUUCCCAAGAAGUCAGGGAGGGAGAUGCUCCCCCCGGCACUUUGCCGGCAAGUGACAAGUGUGGUGGCUUAGGGGCAUCCCCUCCCCAGGGCAUCUUUGACUGCACCAUCUCAGGGUACAGGGGUGGGGGGGCCCUCUGUGUAGGGCCCAGUUGUGGCAAAGACUCCAUACAAGGUGCCCAGACUGGGGUGAACCCAGGUGUAGACUCAGCCCCGGGUGGGGGCUGGGGAGCUAGGGGGUCUAAAGCAGAAGGGCCCAGGGGUUUAAAGGGCUGCCUAGACCUUCCAGGGCAGUGCCCAGAGGCCAGACUCAGUGAGGAGGGCUCUCAGCCCCCCAGGCUGCUGUCUUGAGGACAAUGACCUCGCCCUCGCUGGCUGGGCCCUGAGGGUUUACAAGGUGGAAGGGAGGAGAAGCUGGCGGAGCUAUUCAAAGGGUGAGGUUUUAUAGAUCUUUUCCCACCCUUUGGUGCUGUCUGGGAGAUUGAUUGGCUAAUAAGGUAUUUCUGUUCCAGAUGACUAGAGGGUGUGAAAAAAGAGGGAGGAAGCCAUCAGCCAAGCCUGGGGGCGGAGAAGCCACCAUAAAACUACAGACAUUCCCAGGCCCAGAGCCAGCGGCUGAGCCUCCUGCCUGGACAGUGGGUGGCAGCCGGGCUCCCUGGCAUCCGAGCAGAGGCAAGCCUGGCAAACCUGGCCCUGGUGGGAGGACCAGCCACGGGAGCCCACUCUUGAGGGCUGGGCCUGAGAAAGGGGGCUGGUGAUGGUACCAGAAACGUGUGUGUGUGUGUCUGUCUGUCUGUCCGUCCGUCUGGGAAUGUGAGUCAGAAUGCAGAAAUGCAAAUGAAGGCCUCUGACCACACAUUUUCAGCUACUCUAGGCAACUCCCAUAAAGCUAAUCUGGGCAAGUGCCAUUUGAGAAAAAAAAAAAUUCAGGGGUUUGGCUUCUCAGCCCCAAGGACUGAGAUGGGACAGACUGCUCCAAAGACCCGUCCGAGGCCCCUCCGUCACCUGCCUGGGCCCUCAGCCUUUUCUAGGGGCUCAGCAGCUCCUGCUCGGCUGAGGGGGACAGGCUGGGGCUCCCUCAGCUGGGUGCCUGCCUGGGGGGGACAGAGCUCGGGCCCUGAGGGGGAGCCUGGUGGCUGAUGCCCAGACAGCUCCUCUGGGGGGCACAGUGUGAUUUCUGUUUCUUAAACCUUAUUUGUGUUCCUUCUUGCAGUUUCCUCCAGCUCAGGCCUUUGGGGAUCGCCCCACCACUGAGAGCCCAGCCCAGGAGGUGUUGCGAGUGCGGUGGAGCGGGCCCGCAGCGGGGCCCUCACUGCCCUGCCUAGGGUCCCAAGGUCCAGAAAGUUCUUCUCCGCUCUGUGGGGUCUGGCAGAACAGGACUUGGAAGCAGAAGUGUGUGUCCUAAGACUGAUGAGGACACUGUUGUUAAGAUUUGAAAGGCCAGGAGUGAAGGAAGUCUCCCGGGUUAAGCCCUCUGACGCCUUGGGUUCUCACGAUCCGACUGUGUGAUUUAUGUCUCCCAAGACUCUGACGUCAGUUACGUCUAAGGAGGGAGGCUCGAGAAAAUGUCAGUUACAGAGAUAAAUAAGCAACUGGAUAGGAACCAUUUUUAGUGUUCGUCGUUGCGGUGGUACAGCUAUAAGGGUGCGUUCAUGACGGGUGGUAAAGAAAAGGCUGGACAGACGGACAGACUGACAUCAGGAGGGUUGGGUCACGGCCCCGCACAGGCUGCUCCACCUGGGGGAGCGGGGCUCGAAGCCACAGUCCUCAGGCCAUCGUCUAUGUCGGGGAACCUCUUUCUCUAGGAAACUCUGUCCAAUACUAGAACGUAAGUCCUGUGAAUAAAAUGCCACCGUGCUGGUGGAGGAGCAGGGCCUUCUCAAGUUUCAGGUGCGCUGGGGGCCCCCUUGCCCUCGCAGCAUCAUUUUAACAGUGAGCCUCUCGGAGCAAACACGCAUCUUCUUUACAGCUUCUUUCUGCAUUCGUCCAACACGCAAACAAACAGAAAGCCAAUGUUCUUCCAGGUCCCUUCUCUGAAGCCAUCACUGUGAGGAGACUGACAGCAGGGACUAUGAGGAUGUGUCCCGGCCAGCUCCUGUCUGCGGCCUGGCUUGUGCGCAGAUGGGAGCAGGGCGCACACUUACCUUCCCACGUAACGGGCUGUUUCAGGCUUGGCGUACACAUGGAGCCUGACCUCCAUUUUGGUGGUUCCGUGGUCUGAAUGUCACACAGCUCGAGUGGCAGUGGUCACUGUCUCCUCAGGUUCCUUCAUUCAGAUCCCAGCCCUGGAGAUGUCAUCUGGGUAACCUUUCCGGGCUUCUGUUUCCUCAUCUGUAAACCACCAGCAACUUGGUGAGGUGGUUGUGAGAAUUAAAUGAAUGAGUUUAUGUAAAACCCUGGUAAGGGGCCCUGGCGUCCACUCUCAAGGUACGUGCUACCCUCUGAUUGUCGCUUUGAUUUACUUAAGCAGCCCUCUGCCGGUGAGCCUGUGGGUCGCUUCUGGGGGGCAGCUGUUUGAGGCUGCCCUGCAGUAGAAAGCCCUGGGCGUUGUGCACCUGUGCAGGUACCGGCGUAUCUGUGGGGUUGUUUCUAGAUUUGUUCACGGUGGGAUCCACGCAGCCUUCAGUGGGCUGGGGGAGGGGGGAGCAUCUCUGAAGAACUGGCUUUUUGUUGCUAAAGAAAAGGAUAUAUAGUUUAAAAACUAGUAUGUAUGUAUGUAUGUAUUUUUACUAUUUGCUGAACCCUGCUCUAUUUUGGGGUGGAGGAGGAGGUAAUCAGGUUUAUUUAAUUACUGUUAUUACUUAUUUUAAUGGAAGUACUGGGGAUUGAACCCAGGACCUCGUGCAUGCUGAGCAGCUGCUCUCCCACUGAGCUAUACCCCCCCCCGUGUUAAUUUUAUUGUAGUAACAUAUACAUGAAAGUUACCCUUUUCACUGUUUUUCAGUGUACAGCUCAGUGGCAUUAGGUAUGUUGUAGGGGAGCCAUCACCACCCUCCAACCAUCUCCAGAACUUUUUCACCCCAAAGUGAACCUUCCACCCUGCCUCCCCAGCCCAUGGCACCCGCCAUUCUACUUGUCUCUACGAAUUUGACGACUCUAGGUGCCUCAUGUGAGCGGAGUCGUACAACAGUGUCUUUUUGUGACUGGCUUGUUUCACUUGGCAAAAUAUCCCCAGGGUUCAUCCCUGCUGCAGCGUGUGUGAGAAUGUCAUCCCUCUUCACGGCUGUGGAUAGGCCACAUUUUGUUUACCUGUUCCCCUGCUGAUGGCGUUUGGGUUGUUUCUACUUUUCGGCUGCUGUGAACAAUCCUGAAUAAUGUGGACAUUGUUGGACCAAUUAUCUCUUCGAGUCUCUGCUUUCCGUUGUUUCGGGGAUGAUACGUCUAAAAUGGAACUGAGCGUGUGGUGAUUCCGUUACCAUAUUGCUCCCAGGAUGUGUACAUUUUAAAUGUUACUUUUUUUGUCUUUUCCAAUGCGGUAUGGAAGAAUAAUUAAUUGCAUUCCUCUUAAGCUGUUACGUGUUUUCUUUUUCUUUUUUUUUUUUUUUUUUUAAAGAUUUUCAAAGACAUUUGCGUUUCUCCUUCUGUUCAUCGUGCGUGGUGUCUGCAUCCCUGGCACUCACCUGUCAGUGGACAUUUAGGUUGCUUCCACGUCUUGGCUGUUGUAUCCAGUGCUGCUAUGAACAUCAGGGUGCAAGUUAUCUCUUCAAAUCAGAGCUUCCUCCAGAUAUAUGCCCAGGAGUGGGAGUGCUGGAUCAUAGGUUUUGGGCUCUGUCCUCUUUGAUCCAAGUACAAGGCUUUGGAGAACGCAGAGGCUCUGUGACGGAAUUGGGAAGUACUACAAACAGGCUGAGGUAAAUCAGGACAAACUCAGCCCCCUUCUUCAUGUCCACAGAAGUUGGUGACAGCUUCCAUGACAAAAGUCAACACAGGGGACGCUUCCUCUACUCCAAGGGAAGCAAAUGAAAGUAAUGAUGAUGGCAGUUAUGAUCAAAGUAUUUUACCAGUACAGCUUUUGUAGUGUAACAUUUCUCAAAAGGAAGGCUCAGGUCAACAGGUUUUGGAAUUUUCCAGAUCUUUAGGUGGAUCCAUAUACCAAAGCAAGUAAUUCCCCUAAAAGCACAACCUCCAGUACAACAAAACUUUAUUCAUAUCGCAGACGGGAGCCAGGAAUGAGGGAGAUUCAGAGACUAUUAACACAUAAAUCCAGUGGACAUAAAAGAAAGUCUUGACUCACUCAACAAACAGGUAAUAGACAAAAGAGCACAAGAAUAAACCUGAAAGGAAAAAAAUAUCUUCAACUGAUAUGAAACAAAUACUGUUGUUGGGGUCACCAAUUAAUUCUUCAUUAGAAAUCUCCAGUGCCCCUUGAGUUACCAAGACAACCGAUACAUCAUCUCCGUUUCUAGAACAUACCCUAUACCUCAGAUAUGAGCUCUUAUGGUAACAGCGGUGCUCAGCCAGAUAAAGCGAAAAGAGCCCCAGGACCGGCUUUACUGCAUCGCCGAGCCAUGCGGCUCUCCGCAGCAGGGCCCAUGCCUGUGCCCGCCCGUCAGGAGGUGGCCCCGUUGCCACUCCGGCCACUGGGCUUCAGAGGGCCUUGCUUCUCCUGGGCCUGCUCAGAGGGCACCCAAAGGAAACCUGAGGGACCUGACUCUCCUGGAUGAAGAAUGUCUUAGGGGAGCAAGAGAGUGUGGCUUUAUCUCAAAUCCCUGUGGAUUGAAAGAAGCACCUGUAACAAUUAUCUGACUUCUUAAAAAAAGAGAUCUGUAGAAAAGGGCUAAGUUACUUUCUAAAUUGAUCGGUGAUUCAUGACCAAUUUCUUGGUCCGAAGACUUUGAAAAAUCCAAAUAAUAUAGUUGUGCAUCUUGGUUUGCUGUGGAGAAAAAAAAAAAAAAAAAAAGGAAAGAAAAAUCUGUUCUCCCAUCUAAGCCUUUUCUUUAGUGAUUGACUGACAUCCAGGCUGACCGGGCACAGGGAGCUUUGAAACCAUAAUCCAGUCAUGAGUUAGUAAAUCUGACUGAGUUUGGGCUGCAGCACCUGUCUUCUCAUCUUGUAAAAUACGCGCUACCAGAGCUGGCCAGAUGUUUAUGGCAUACCCUCACAACUCACAAGAAGUACCCAGUCUGUAAACUUGGGGCCAAGAAGUGGCCGCACCAGCCCACGGCGUGGCAGCUCGCUGGCUAACCGUCCUGCGCUAGGCUUGCCCCCGCAGCUCUGCGAGGAGCUCUCUGGCCAGUUUUCUCGACCCAGGGGCAUCCACGCCAAGAUGAUCCCAUCUGUACAAGGUCUGAUCCAGAAAACCAACAAUCUCGUGCAUUAUCUCAUCAGUCCGCGCCAUCUGCAAUGUGGACAGAAGAGAAGGCAAAUUAAACCCCUUUCCAGACAGAUUUCAUCUCUCCGUCCACUGGACCAACCAUAACCAUCCUGCCCCUGAAAUGCAGCCACAAUCCUAUCAGCUCUGAAGGGCUCUUGCUUUAUUCUCAAGGUGAUGAGCAAAGAAAUCUGUUCUCAGAGGUUAGCCACCGAGUGAGCAGUCGCCUCCCCAUGUUCGCCCUCUCCUGACUGACUGGCCUUCGACUCACAAGGGGUACAGACAAAUGCUGCGUUUCCUGGAACGCCCAGCAUGAGCUUUGGGAUUAUUCGCUGUGGGGAGCAGAGGCACGUGUACGUGCUGUGGCUUGACUUUCUGCAAAAGAUCACACUCACAUUAGAACUGGAAAAUGCCCCCUAUUUUCAGUUUUUAUAAAUUGCAUUCCUGGGCUGGUGACCUGGGCACACUGGUUUUUUAAUAGGCACCUGAGGUUUUUACACUUGAUUCUUAAGGGAAGCAGGAAACAGGAAUUGUCAGUUCUGCAAAAUACAGCCUUGGCUGUUGCUGCCUGAAAGUGCCAUUUUCCUAAGAAUUUCAGUUCUGCAAAAAGGGAAGGGUGAGAAUCUCAGUUUAUCUGUGUGAAGAAUUUACUGUGAUUUUUAGACACAAGGGCAUUAAGAAGCUGUUUUUGAGAGUAAUCCACAUUCAUUUUUUUUCUUUUAAACAGGGAACACGCCAUGAAUUUGCAUGGCAUCCUCGCGCAGGGGCCGUGCUGGUUCCUCUGUGUUGGUCCAGCUGUAGCCCACGUGCUGCUGAAGUGAGCACCACAUACUCACUCUUGUCGGUGAGUCAAAUGUUUAAACUAGCCUGCGCAGCCCAAGGUCAGCUCCCUCUCCACGUCCGCACAUGAUCCAGCCGCCCUGUUCAUCCAGGACUGUCCCAAAGCCCAGGCCGUGGGGCAAGGCACCCUGUCUCCGCUGCACGUGUACCGAGUGAGUGGCAGCCCCGGGCGCCCUGGACAGCGUCAGGCUCCUGGCUGCUGCGCAGGACGAGGGGCUGAGUAGGAGGCAGGCUGCCAGACUGGGCGGGGCUCACUGAAGCUCCUGGUGUCUGUGUCACCAUCUCUUGGUUUUUACUCAGAAAUCCCAGAUGCUAUAGACGAUCUUUGUGAAUGAAACAACGUGAGUGUCCCUGGGCUGCUUUAAAAGAGUUAAUUUACUACCUUGAACCCAGGUGAGGGAAGGUGGCUUCCAGCUGCAGGGCCCAGCGAUCACAGGGGCUCCCCGGAGCCGGAAGCAGGGUGGCGCGCCAUCACGGACGGCUGUGCAGGUGGCUCGGUGGACCCUCCCAUCAUCUUCCUGAGCUGACUCGUGAACUUGAACGAAGCCGCGCAGGGUUCUCCGAGGCCGCGCCAGCUCGGGUGGAGCUCCGCAGCGUUAACGGACAGCAGGGGCUGAGCUGUUCCGUGGGGACCGGUCGCCCGGCCUCAGCAGCAAGCCUGACCUGGGGGCGCGAUCCAGGUCCUUCUGCCCAGCAGCCACCCUCGGGGUGGGACGUGAGGGUGGUGCGCUGCGAAUGCCGCCUGUUUCCCGGAAUGGGGCGCAAUGUGGCUGGAAUGACGGAAGCAGAGACCUGGGUGUCUCCGGGGAGCUUUCUCUGCGUUUUCUAUCUCUUGCUAGUAACCUUUGAUACACAAAGGUUUUGAUCUUGAAGUCCAGUUUAUCUGUUUUUUCUUUUGUUGCCUGUGCUUUUAGUGUCAUUAUUCAAGAAAUCCUCGCCACGCCCAGUGCCAUGAAUGGCGCGCACGUUUGACUUGGACGGCUCUUUACCCCGCACAUCAGUUGGGCUUCAGGAAAGAUUUCUCUGUAAUUAGCAAACUUCUAAAAAAUUAACAAGCAAAAUUCUGUGAGCCGCCGCAGUGGGCACAGUCUCACCUAAGUCUUUGUUUCUCUUCAUGAGGAGGAAGAGGAGAGCCCGGGACACAGGAGGCCAAGCCUCACCUGGGGGCCCUGCAGCACACCCUGCGACCUAGGGGACGUCCCUUCCUUUUCCUGAGCCUCCCUUUCCCCUUCUGCGCUCUGCGGUCUGUCCCCGCUGUCUCCUCCCUGCCUCUCCACCCAAGCGGGCAGCAUCCUGGUACACAAACUCUUCAAAGGCCUGGCCUCUGGGUGGAGAGCCUACCUUCCACCUGGGCCGUGAGUGAGAGGCAGGGUGCCGGAAAGGGGAGACUCACGAGGGUG